rnacentral:rRNA from 1 species
UUCUUCCUACGGGAGGCAGCAGUGAGGAAUAUUGGUCAAUGGGAGAGAUCCUGAACCAGCCAAGUCGCGUGAGGGAGGACGGCCCUACGGGUUGUAAACCUCUUUUGCCGGGGGACAAACGGCGGCACGCGUGCCGUCCCGAGGGUACCCGGAGAAAAAGCAUCGGCUAACUCCGUGCCAGCAGCCGCGGUAAUACGGAGGAUGCGAGCGUUAUCCGGAUUUAUUGGGUUUAAAGGGUGCGUAGGCGGGAUGCCAAGUCAGCGGCCAAAUACGGGGGCUCAACCUGC